GACGAACGCUGGCGGCGUGCUUAACACAUGCAAGUCGAACGGAAAGGCCCCCUUUUGGUGUACUCGAGUGGCGAACGGGUGAUUAACACGUGAGUAAUCUCCCCCUCUCUUUUGUAUAAUUUCUUGAAACUAGUGCUACUACUGCCUAGUAGCUCCUGCUGCUUCGUGGUGGUGGGAAAGUUUCGGCGGUUGGGGAUGGACUCGCGGCUUAUCAGCUUGUUGGUGGGGUAGUGGCUCACCAAGGCUUUGACGGGUAGCCGGCCUGAGAGGGUGACCGGCCACAUUGGGACUGAGAUACGGCCCAGACUCCUACGGGAGGCAGCAGUGGGGAAUAUUGCACAAUGGGCGGAAGCCUGAUGCAGCAACGCCGCGUGCGGGAUGACGGCCUUCGGGUUGUAAACCGCUUUCGCCUGUGACGAAGCGUGAGUGACGGUAAUGGGUAAAGAAGCACCGGCUAACUACGUG
rnacentral:rRNA from 1 species